CUACAGAUUUGCUUUAAGGUCUUUAUUCUCGCCAUGGGCUGCACUGGAAGUGGUAGAUUGGAAUUAACGCGCUACAAUUCCAGUAACUUUUGGGAUUACAAAUAUAAACCUCCUGGGCCAUGAGGAGACUGGGAAGGGCUCACUACAGGUACAGGAACACUGGAGCUGGGAGAGGUUGAGUCCCCUGUCCAGAGUCCCACUGCCCACAGGUAGAAAAACCACAAUGGAGCACAGUGAAUUUAAAACAGCUGAACUCAUCCUCACAGUAACUUCAGUGGGAUCAAGGAGAGCACGGCCCUGCUUGCUGGUCGUUCUGCAACCUCGUGAUGUGCAACGGCCCUGAGUACUACACGCGCCCUUAGGCAAGGUACCUGAUGAGGGAGAUGCGGAUCCACCUCACAAGGCUGCUGUGAGGUUUCAAUGAACUAACACAUGCAAAAGGACUACAGCCUCCUGCACGCAAGUAUGCGGUGCUAUCUGUACUGCUGAGGUUGGUGCAGCCACAAAGGAAGCGCAAACUGGAUGGAAAGACAGACACCUAUCAGCUUUCCCUACUCUGAAGAAACUCACUCGGAACCUGAUUCUACAUCUCGCCUCUGAAAACCUGAAUUCUCUUCCUUCAAUUUAGAUACGGUUAAAACCUUAACAUUCUCAGGAAAAAAAGCAUAAGUUGACUCAUUCAUCUAAUCAACCUCCCACUUUUUUUUGGCUAGGUUUCACUGUCAACCUUCUUGAAUACGUCCUGUAGCUACUGUGAUGGAAAUGACUGAGAUGUCCUUCAGGAAAACCAGCUAGCACUUCCCUGGGGAGGUCAAAACUUAAUCAUGUGAAUUUCCCUAGAGCUACGCAGAGGCAGGAACACAAUAAAUAGAUUAACAUGAAAA